rnacentral:rRNA from 1 species
UACAGAGGUGCUCAAGCGUUGUUCGGAUUCAUUGGGCGUAAAGGGGUGCGUAGGCGGCGCGGUAAGUCGGGUGUGAAAUCUUGGAGCUUAACUCCGAAACUGCAUUCGAUACUGCCGUGCUUGAGGACUGGAGAGGAGACUGGAAUUUACGGUGUAGCAGUGAAAUGCGUAGAUAUCGUAAGGAAGACCAGUGGCGAAGGCGGGUCUCUGGACAGUUCCUGACGCUGAGGCACGAAGGGCCAGGGGAGCAAACGGG